rnacentral:rRNA from 1 species
UACGUAGGGGGCAAGCGUUGUUCGGAAUUACUGGGCGUAAAGCGCACGUAGGCGGCUUUGUAAGUUAGAGGUGAAAGCCCAGGGCUCAACCCUGGAAUUGCCUUUAAGACUGCAUCGCUAGAAUUGUGGAGAGGUAAGUGGAAUUCCGAGUGUAGAGGUGAAAUUCGUAGAUAUUCGGAAGAACACCAGUGGCGAAGGCGACUUACUGGACACAUAUUGACGCUGAGGUGCGAAAGCGUGGGGAGCAAACAGG